rnacentral:rRNA from 1 species
UACGGAGGGGGCUAGCGUUGUUCGGAAUUACUGGGCGUAAAGCGCGCGUAGGCGGCCCGGUAAGUCCGCUGUGAAAGUCGGGGGCUCAACCCUCGGAUGCCGGUGGAUACUGUCGGGCUUGAGUGCGGAAGAGGCGAGUGGAAUUCCUGGUGUAGCGGUGAAAUGCGCAGAUAUCAGGAGGAACACCAAUUGCGAAGGCAGCUCGCUGGGACGUUACUGACGCUGAUGCGCGAAAGCGUGGGGAGCAAACAGG